rnacentral:rRNA from 1 species
UUGCCUGGGUACUACGAACACAUGUUUAAAACCCAAAGAACUUGGCGGUGCUAUAAUCCAACUAGGGGAACCUGUCCCUUGAUUCGAUAACCCACGAAAAUCUUACUUACCUUAGAUGUUAUUAUCAGUUUAUAUACCGUCGUCUAGCCGGCCUUACCGAGAGAUAAAAAGCUGGCAAAAGAGGUUUAUUCCCUAAAAAGACAGAUAAAGGUGUAGCCAAUAGGUAAAGGGAAGGAUGUGUUACAAUUAAUAAUUUGAUAAUGGAAUUCUAAUGAAAUUUUAGGAGGAAAGAGGACUUAGAAGUAAUCUUUUAGUAAACACUAGAUGGUGAAUUAUUAGGCUCUAUAGUGUGUAC